GGUGGCUUAGUAGUUAGAGUGUCCGCCUUAGAUGAGGAAGUUCGCGGGUUCGAAACCAGUCAAGCCA